rnacentral:rRNA from 1 species
UACGUAGGGCGCGAGCGUUGUCCGGAAUUAUUGGGCGUAAAGAGCUCGUAGGCGGCCUGUUGCGUCCGCUGUGUAAAUCCCAGGGCUCAACCCUGGGCGUGCAGUGGAUACGGGCAGGCUGGAGGCAGGCAGGGGAGGAACGGAAUUCCCGGUGUAGCGGUGAAAUGCGCAGAUAUCGGGAGGAACACCGGUGGCGAAGGCGGCUCUCUGGAACGCAACUGACGCUGAGACGCGAAAGCGUGGGGAGCAACAGG